rnacentral:rRNA from 1 species
CUACGGUGAAUACGUUCCCGGACCUUGUACACACCGCCCGUCAAGCCAUGGAAGCUGGGUGUACCUAAAGUCGGUAACCGCAAGGAGCCGCCUAGGGUAAACUAGUAACUGGGGCU